rnacentral:rRNA from 1 species
UUAAGCAUAUCAAUAAGCGGAGGAAGAGAAACCAACCAGGAUUCCCUCAGUAACGGCGAGCGAAGUGGGAAGAGCUCAGGCUGCCAAUCUCCGGCCGAGAGGUCGGCGAAUUGUGGUCUGGAGACGCCUACUGUCCCUGCUCGCUUCCCUGGCCCGAAGUUGACCUGGAACGGCGCGUCGGAGAGGGUGACAAUCCCGUAGGGCUGUGUCGGGAAGCGAGUGGACGUGAGUGGGUUGUCGGCGAGUCGGGUUGUUUGGGAAUGCAGCCCAAAGCGGGUGGUAAACUCCAUCCAAAGCUAAAUAGCGGCACGAGACCGAUAGCGAACAAGUACC